GUUAUCUGCUGACAGCUUGUGCCAAACAAACUCUGCCUACACAAGAGACACAAUCCAGGAAGAGAGGAGAAAAAUACAACAUCAGCUCAACAGUCCCGUGGAGGGACGACGACAAAUGGGUACGUGACCAGGAGAUAAUUUCUGAGCAGCUCAAACUCACUGUAGCGUCUCCACAAAGAAUCAGGUGCAGACGGUUGUCCUCCCUCUGGGAAAGCUUCAGCUGGCCUGCGGACACAUGAGUUAACAGUGUGUUUAUUUAUUGUACAUGUGUUAGGACAUUACUUGUCCAGAGCAUGCUGAGACACAGAAAGAGCAAUGCGUCUCAACUAACUUUAAAAUGUCAAGCAGCAUAUUGUUCUGUUUGCAUGUGGCCGUAAAACUGGUGUCAGUGGGGAAAACUGAACUGGAUGCUCCAGUGUGUGACCCACCGUGUUUCUAUGAGGUAGACAGUGUAGGUUUCCUGCAUGUUCACCGUGUUCUUCCCUGUUCUCUUCUCUGCCUCCGUCACGUUGAUCUCCAUUUUUCUCAACAGGGCUGUCCCUCGUUCCACCAUCUGCGCAGAGGAGAAAGAUCGCGUAAGCAUGAGGAAAAAUAAUACAAACUACUCAUUGAAAUUCAGAAUAUGAAGUUAUAGGGAGGUUUAUCAAGGGGACAUCAGACAAUUAUAACACCAGGUGAGGAGACAUGUGUGCGCAGGGUCACAGUGUGUUCUCCGGGUGGUAAGAGACUAUUAAACGUUCCACUCAGAACCAUGUAGAUUCUGUUAUUGAGCUAAGAUAAGAUAAAAUAAGACUUCUUUUAAUCCCAAAAUAAAUUCUUGUGCCAGCUUGCUCCAAGAUCACAAAGUGUAAUAGAAUAGAAUACAGUGAAUAAAACAAAAAGAGUAUGGAGAGCGAAAAUAUCAGUGAAAAACAAACUUGUGUGUAAAUGAAGCAAACAUUAAUGAGUAAUGCAGAACCAGUGAAAUAGAUCUGAGAGAAAAAUAAGGAAGUUGUAUGAGACAGUGAAAAAAAUACUACACAAAAGUGGCUGACAGUAAUAGUGAUAAAAGGAUGCACUGAUAAUCGGAUUUAUCAGUGAUCUGUACCAGAGUAUCUGUUCUAUGCAGAUGCAUGACAAGGGUUAAACAGAUCAACACAGAGGGGCAGGUCUGUGUUUGUGUCUUCAGGGUUGUGACCACACACUGGAGGGUUGUGACCACACACUGGAGGGUUGUGACAGACGCGUGCAGGUCACAAGACGAGACAGGAUAAUACAAACACCAGCGUCAAUAAACGGGGGGGGGGGGGGGGGGGGUAUCGACCUCUCUCUUUAUCUCAUCUGAAACCAUGAAGCUAAAUCCAUGUCAACUAAACUUUAGCCCUCUGACCUGCUAGCUAACGAGCUAAAGGCAGCAUCAAAGUUUACAAGGUAGCUUCGAGCCACUGCUAGCAUUAGCAACUUGGGCUGACUCUGGCACUUUAGAGUCGCCUUUGCAGAGUUAGCAACUGAAGCUAGUUUGGGAGCUAACAGUCAAUAAAAAGCUGUUUUAAAGUGAAGCCCCGUGUGUCACUAACCCCCCCCCCCUCCCUCCCCGGAAGCUAACACACAGUUCAGGCCUGUUUGGAAAAGUUUUCACCGGUGAGAAAGAGCAGCAGCUCCGGACUAAUGAACAUUGUUUAACGGAGAGAAAGAGCCGUGCACGACCGUGUUGAUGAGGUUGUUCUCCGAUUCAGAUGAAGUCAGGUCGGUGUUUCCGAUCACAGCCACUUCGUUGGUCCCGGAGACAGCGGAGUCAGUGGAGUCAGCAGAGUCAGCCAUCAUCCCCUCCCGUCUGCUCCACUGUCAGCUGAGACGAGGGGCUGCCGCUGCGCAUGCGCGUCCUGUCACAACGACCACUGAGACCUGUGGACGGAAAAACAAAAUAAAGUGAAAUAAAUGUUUUUGUGUUUUAUUAUCAAACAGUACUUAUUAAAUGAUACAUGCAAUAAAAUAAUAAAGUAAAAUAAAAUAGAAGUUUAUCAGCUUAAUGUGUGGUUGUGUAUCUGCAAUGGUUAAAGAUAAUAAAUAGAUAACUAUAAAAUAAAGUGAAAUAAACGUUAGAUGUUUGAUUAUUAAGCAGCACAUAUUAAAUGACAAUUACAAUACCAUUAUGAAGUCAAAUUAAAUCAACUAGAAGUGUAUCAACUAAAUGUGUGGUUUUGUAUCAGCAAUGGUUAAUUGAUAAUAAGUAGGUAACAACAUUUUUUGAAAUACAAAAUAAAUGUUUUUCACUGCAGCAGAAACUGGAUAAACAACUUUUGAGUUUUUAUGACAACUGAAGGGAACCACAGGUGAGGGGUAUUCAGCUGCAACAUGCAACUUCACCACUAGAUGUCACUACAUACUAUACACUGAACGUUGGUCAUUUGAAUAUUAUUUGAAUUUUGAUUAUAGAUUGGAUUAUGUAGAUAAUCCUUUUAGAGUUGUGUGUUGUAUUUUUUUUUACAGCCAAUAUGUGUUAACAGUUUAUUUUGCUAUGUUUGAGAUGUUGCUCUGUUUUGGAUGUGGGGUCAGAUCAGCAGGUCGAUCAGGGAGAGUGACAACAGGUUUGCACCAUUAGUUCUUUGAGAAAGGAGGGGCUGGGUAUCUUUUGCAUUUUGCAGAUAGGUUGAAUUGUGAGCUCCAAACUUGGUCUUGUCUUCAGUGUGGUUUCUAUUUGUCUUUAAGUUAAGCUCACCUCCUACUUACCAGCGCAGGAGGUAGGUUCCAGGCAGGUGAGGCUAUAAAGCAAAAAUUCCAGUCAGUAGAAAGAUGAGUGACUGUGGAUUUGUGUAGUUUUGUGCUCUUUUUUUUCUUUUAUUAUUAUGAUUUAGUUUUUUUUUGUAUUUCCAAGGGAUCUUUUCACCUUCGUGUCGUUGUACCUUUUUGUUAUCCACAAACAAUGAAAGUUCAAGCAAAUGGAUAUUCUUGUAUCAGCUAUGCUUAUUUGAUGAAAAAUUAAUAACUGAAAUAAACAGUUUGGUUUGA